GACGAACGCUGGCGGCGUGCCUAAUACAUGCAAGUUGAGCGCUGAAGGUUGGUACUUAUCCCAACUGGAUGAGCAGCGAACGGGUGAGUAACGCGUGGGGAAUCUGCCUUUGAGCGGGGGACAACAUUUGGAAACGAAUGCUAAUACCGCAUAAAAACUUUAAACACAAGUUUUAAGUUUGAAAGAUGCAAUUGCAUCACUCAAAGAUGAUCCCGCGUUGUAUUAGCUAGUUGGUGAGGUAAAGGCUCACCAAGGCGAUGAUACAUAGCCGACCUGAGAGGGUGAUCGGCCACAUUGGGACUGAGACACGGCCCAAACUCCUACGGGAGGCAGCAGUAGGGAAUCUUCGGUAAUGGACGAAAGUCUGACCGAGCAACGCCGCGUGAGUGAAGAAGGUUUUCGGAUCGUAAAACUCUGUUGGUAGAGAAGAACGUUGGUGAGAGUGGAAAGCUCAUCAAGUGACGGUAACUACCCAGAAAGGGACGGCUAACUACGUG
rnacentral:rRNA from 1 species